CUAAGAAUAUUCCGCAAUGGGCGAAAGCCUGACGGAGCGACGCCGCGUGGAUGAUGAAGGCCGGAAGGUUGUAAAGUCCUUUUAUGACAGAGGAAUAACCGGGGCAGGGAAUGGCACCGGGGUGACUGUAGGUCAUGAAUAAGCACCGGCUAAUUACGUGCCAGCAGCCGCGGUAACACGUAAGGUGCGAGCGUUGUUCGGAAUUAUUGGGCGUAAAGGGCAUGUAGGCGGACCUGCAAGCUUGGAGUGAAAUCCACAGGCUCAACCCGUGAACUGCUCCGGGAACUGCAGGACUUGAAUCGCUGAGGGGGAGCCGGAAUUCCAGGUGUAGGGGUGAAAUGCGUAGAUAUUAGGAGGAACACCAGUGGCGAAGGCGGCUUACUGGACUGUAACUGACGUUGAGGCUCGAAAGCGUGGGGAGCAAACAGGAUUAGAUACCCUGGUAGU
rnacentral:rRNA from 1 species